ACAUAACAGUGGAGCCUGUGUGUCUUUCAAAAUAAAAUGCUCUUAUUUUCUCUAAUGCUCCAAUUUCAUGGUUCCAGUGUUCUUCAAGCAAAAUUUUAUGUACCAAGUCCAUUCGUUGUUUUUCAUGUAAUACCUUUCAAUACUGUAUUAUUGGCAAACGUUUGUAUCUGAGUUGAUUCCGUCGUUCGUUAUCUUUAUUAUGAAGAAAUAAAUUACGGAAGUAACCUCAGAAGUUUUGCAAAAAGUCAUACAAAGGUCUCUACGAAAAUUUGACUAUAACAAAAAGCUUAUGUAAAUGAAAAGUCGUUAUCGUUUUGUCAGAAGACGAUAACGUGCCAUAAAAACGGAAAUCCAUCUCUACUGAAAAAGUUGUUCUUAUCCGGCAACCAUUAGAACUACACCUCCCAUAAUUCCUUUGUGUAUUUACCUUUUAGCAAAGAUAUGCUACCAAAAUGUAUGCGUUAGAAAUGAAAUUAAUGACGCAAAAUUGCAAUUCAGUAACCUCGUUAGUAAACUGUCUCUGUAUUAGUUUAGAAGUAAUUAGUUUUUAACCUCAAAUUGCUGGAAAUACAAGAUUUAAAAUAUGGACUCUUUUUAAAAUUCGCGCUGUUUGUUCCGCCUGCAGAGAUUACUGGUUAGCUUUGUUAGCAUUUUAGCUUUACUACUGCAUUGUGGGUGGUAUCAAGAAGCUUUAAUUUUUCAAUGUAAGAGAGGGCAUUAACACACGUUUUUACAAUGCAAGUGACGGACAUCGGGAACAAAGAAGAUGGGAAAAUCUGGCAUCGAAAUUCAACUUCGACAAAAGGGCCCAUGGUGACAGUGGUGCGCACUGCACAGCAGGCCAAGACUGUGCGUUUCCUCCAUGUUGCUUUUGACACCACAGGAGAGUGCUUCAUCGCUGGAGAUCACCAUGGAAACAUCUAUGUGUUUGACAUCGGGAGAAACAGAUUUCGACUGGUGCAGAAGACAGGACAGGCCUGCACUGCUCUGGCAUUUACUCUUCGUCGAACAUCAGAGUUUCUUGUGGCUUUAGCAGACUACACUGUCAAAUGUUUUGAUAAAGAUACAAAGCAGCUUGUUAGUUGGAUGCGUGGCCAUGAUGGAGCAGUUUCGUCCAUUUCAGUUCACAGUUCAGGCAGAUAUGCAAUCACCACUUCCUUAGAUUCUGCUCAGCUCUGGGACAUGGACACCUUCCAGAGAAAAAGAAAGCUCAAUGUUCGACAGUCUGUUGGCAUACAGAGGGUAUUUUUUCUUCCACACAGUAACACUAUACUCAGCUGUUUCAGUGAUGACUCCAUCUUUGCUUGGGAAAGUGAUACUUUGUUCUGCAAAUAUCAACUGCCUGUUCCAGACUGUGGACCUCGAAUCUCAUACAAGGCUUUUGCUGUUACCCAAGAUGGUAAGAACCUUGUAUCGGCGGGACGCUCCAACCUACUGCAUCUUUGGUGUCUUGAAAAUAAACAGCUCAUCAAAGUGAUUCAGAUGCCUUCACAAGUCCGAACAAUCAGACAGCUUGAGUUCUUACCUGACACUUUUGACAGUGGAGCCAAUCAGACUCUGGGUGUGCUUAGCCAAGAUGGUGUGAUGCGAUUCAUCAACAUCCACACAUGCAAACUUCUGUUUCAAAUUGGUUCACCUGACUAUGCCCUAACUACAGUGGAUAUUGGUCCCAAUGGUAGACACAUUGUUGCUGUCAUGGAUAAUGGUGGAAUCAACAUCUAUAGUUUACAAAGUCUGACAGAAGAAUUAAACAAGCCUCCUAAUUCGCAGGUUGUGGUGGUUAAAGACAAGGAAGUUAAUCAGGCUGUGCCAAAGGUUAAAGUCAAGUCAGGUGCAGUGCGUAAACCGUCUUCAAGUAGAGUGACACAAACAAAGGCCCUAAGUCCUGCUGGUGCAUGUGAUGACAAAGAGAAUGAAUUGCCUGCGGGUUUAAACAAGAAGCGAUUGGUGGCCCUGUUAAAGGCAUUUGGAGAAUAUCCUGCUAAAUAUAGAAUGUUUGUGUGGCGCUCUAUGCUGUUUCUGCCAGAAAACUAUGCAGCGUACAGCAGCCUAACUGACAAAGGACUCCACACAGCAUACCUCUCUCUGCAUGACAAAUAUCCAAUCAAAAGCCAGAAGCUGCAAAGGCGACUGCAAAGAGUUUUGUCUGCUUUGGCUCACUGGGCAGCAAUCUUUGGAGAGGUGGAGUAUCUCCCUCUUGUGGCCUUUCCUUUUGUUAAGCUCUUUCAGAACAAUCCUUUGCUCUGCUUUGAGGUGGUUGCCACCGUGAUAGUGAACUGGUGCCAGCACUGGUUUGAAUAUUUCCCCAAUCCUCCUCUCAAUAUCUUGAGCAUGGUAGAAAAUGUUUUGGCCCAUCACGACAAAGAGCUCUUGCAGCACUUGGUAGAUUGUGGCAUCACUUCACAGCUGUACGUUUGGCCCUUGCUUGAAACCCUGUUCUCUGAGGUCCUAACUCGAGAUGAGUGGCUUCGACUUUUUGACAACAUUUUCACCAAUCAUCCAUCAUUCCUGCUUAUGACUUGUGUGGCAUAUACCACAUGCAGUCGUGAACCUCUUUUACAAUGCUCUCAAAAACAAGACUUUGAGUAUUUUUUUCAUCAUCGUAACAACCUGGAUGUGGGAGCCAUGAUAAAAGAAGCAUAUCGUUUGAUGAGUAACACCCCUGUGGACAUUCAUCCAAAGACGAUGCUUUCUGACUUCACCCCUCUCACAAAAGGACAGUACCCAAUCUUCAAUCAAUACCCUGAAUUCAUAGUGGAAUACCAGAGUCGUGAAAGGGAGAAGAUACGGCUGCAGGAAAUGGAGUAUUUACGUGAAAGGCAGGAGUUGUCCGCAAUGCAUGCAGAAUUUGUUCGUCGACAAGCUGAACAAGAGACCUACUAUGCACAACAGGAGCUGCUACAGAAAGCUGAAGAUGAGCGCAGAAACAUCCUUGCACAAGAAGAGGAAAAGCUAACUCGACAGAGAGAAAAGUUGGCAGCUAUGAAGAGGGAGCUAAAGGUGAAAGAGCUGCAACUGCUUGAUGCUUCCAGAAGACGAUUCCUUAAACACCAACAGAAAGUGAAGGCAUCUCAAAUUGAGAAACUGGACCAGGAGAUCAGUAGAAAGAUGGAUCUCCGGGAUCAAGAAACAGCAGUAGCCAUUCAGGAUCUGGAAGUGAGACAGAUGGAGCUUGAGGCCCAAAGGAAACGACUUGAAGAGCACUUGUUGAAAGAUCAGGAGGAAACUGAGAGAAGAGUUGGGGAUGAGGUGGAGAUGAGAUUGAGAAAAGCUGAACGAGAGAAUGAGAGCUUCGCACAGCAACUCCACAAACCAAACAAAAAUAUUCAAGUAAACAAUGAUCAUGAGGCUUCCCUGGCAGAGGCAUGCCAGCAGCAUUUGGAUUUGGCCUGGGAGCGCGAGGUGGUGGCACGUAUGGAGCAGGUCGAGGCUGAACAGGACAGAAACAGGGAGAGACUGAGUGCGAUUCACUUGCAAGCAGAGAGAGAGGAGAGUAGGCUGACAGACACUGUGAGAGAGGCUGCAGGAAAGACGUGGGAAGAAGUCAUGAACGCCCGAGUCCAGUUCUCACAGCAGCAUAAACACAUCUCUCCAGGAAAAACAGGUGGCCUACGACAAAGAUCAUUGCCUUCCUCUAACCGCCUCCCUUACACUUCAAAUGGAACUACUGAGGUCAACCUGCCAAGCACUAGUGCUGCUUGUAUGACCCAGCAACACAGAACUGCAGCUACUCCUCGGCAACAAGGGAGGACGAUGGUGUGUCUAAACAGCAGCUCCCCCACAGAGAGUACCUCCACCAACUUCUCUCUGGAUCGGGGUCGGGCCCAGCUGGACGAUGGGGAGAGAGAGCUGCUGAAGGAAAUCCGUGAAUUGAGGCAGAAACUGGCAGCUCGACCAAAAGCAGGAAGUUCUGUGUCUUCUCAUUCUGUCCACACACUGUCCUCCCCUAUCUCCCAGUGACUCCUGUGUGACUACUGUUUGUUUGUUUUGCAAACUAGAAAGAUCUGUUACAGAAUCUAUCACUGUCAUAGUAAACAGGAUUCUUUUCAGACUGUCUGCCUUCAACAUGACCUGCUCUGAAUAACUGAGGAGCUUUGGGAAAAGGUCAAGUACUUUUGUACCACGCAGCAAAAAAAUACCUUACAAGGAUUAUUAUUAUAUAAUUAGUCUU